rnacentral:lncRNA from 1 species
GAAGAAAACAACGAACAACACUCCAGCAGUGGCACGGGCGCGAGGGGCAGUAUCAGAACGCUGGCAUAAUCAGCGGCAUCGGAGCCAGCUAUGGAAGAAGACGAUGACGAACGCGCGAGCUGUGGCACGAGCGUGGCUCGAGCGCG